rnacentral:misc_RNA from 1 species
AACCAUAGAAACCUGCGGAGUACCUGCGGAAGGAUCAUUACAGAGUUCGUGCCCUCGCGGGUAGAUCUCCCACCCUUGUGUAUUUUCUACAUCUUGUUGCUUUGGCAGGCCGUUGGUUCGCCAACCACCGGCUCGCGGGCUGGUGCGUGCCUGCCAGAGGACCUCUCAAACUCGGUUUGUUAGUGUCGUCUGAGUACCAUAACAAUCGUUAAAACUUUCAACAAUGGAUCUCAGAUCGGA